UUUUUUAAUAGUGUAAUAAACUUUUUGACGACAGAGGGCAGAUAUUUUGUUGAGGGUAUUCGUUUUUAUUAAAUCAUUCAUUCGAGGGCGUGGUGAUAUAGGUUAGGAGAAGUUGGUGAUAGCGAGCAGUAGAUAGACCUAAGAAAGUUUCCAACAGAACCAUGUCAGCUAUUCAAGUAUAUCACCAAGAGGAAGAAAUGAAACAAAAUGCCCAAAAAAUGGCCGCCCAAGCUACAACUCCAAUAGAAAA